rnacentral:rRNA from 1 species
UACGUAGGGUGCGAGCGUUGUCCGGAUUCAUUGGGCGUAAAGGGUGCGUAGGCGGCGCGGUAAGUCGGGUGUGAAAUCUCGGAGCUUAACUCCGAAAUUGCAUUCGAUACUGCCGUGCUUGAGGACUGGAGAGGAGACUGGAAUUCAUGGUGUAGCAGUGAAAUGCGUAGAGAUCAUGAGGAAGACCAGUGGCGAAGGCGGGUCUCUGGACAGUUCCUGACACUGAGGCACGAAGGCCAGGGGAGCAAACGGG